rnacentral:lncRNA from 1 species
UGCCAGGGGAGCUCGGAAAUGCCUGUCGCGGAGCCUCGGUCCAUCCGCCCCUCCCAACCGGUCCGGCACAUCCAGGCGCACACACAUCUGUCCACAAACACACCCUCCCUCACACACACACAACUCACACACACACCAAUUCACACAUACACAACUCACGCACCAACUCACAUAUGCGCUCACACAUACACAACUCACACACCAACUCACAUAUGUGCCAACUCACAUGCCAACUCACACACGGACUCACACACAUACCAACUCACAUGCACACCAACUCACAUAUACACAACUCACACACCAACUCACACAUACAUAAUUCACACCAACUCACAUGCCAACUCACACAACUCAACUCACAUGUACACCAAUACACACACAUACACAAGUCACUUACACACCAACUCACUAACACACCAACUCAUACACAUCAACUCACACAUACACAACUCACACACCAACUCACACAUACACAACUCACACACCAACUAAUACACACCAACUCACACAUAUACAACUCACAUCAACUCGCAUACACACCAACUCACACAUCGACUCACAUACACACCAACUCACACGCAUACCAACUCACACAUACACAAGUCACUCACACCAACACACACCAACUCACACAUACACAACUCACACUAACACACACCAACUCAUACACAACACAACACACACACCAACUCACACAUACAACUCACACUAACACACACCAACUCGCAUGCACACCAACACACACAACUCAACUACACACCAACUCACACACCCUUACACAUACACAACUCACACACCAACUCACACCCUCACCCCAACACAACCUCACACAUAUACAACACACACACCAACUCACACCCACACACUUUCACACACACCCUCACACACCCUCACACACACCAACUCCCAUGCACACAUCCUCCCUCAUACACAACUCACAGACCCAUGCACACACCCUCGCCCCCACCCAACACAACCUCACACAUACACAACUCACACACCAACUCACAUGCACACACCCACACACCAACUCACACGCACACACCCUCACUCCCAAUGCAACCUCACAACUCACACCAACUCACACACCCUCACACCAACUCACACGCCCACACCCUCACCCCAACACAACCUCACACAUACACAACUCACACACACUAAUGCACAUAUACACAUCCUCACACACAUUUACAUACACCCCUGCUCACAGACACUCUCUCUGGCUCUCUCUCACACACACACACACCCUACCCCCCACUAGGGCUCAAGGACCCCUCCAGUGUCCUCAGGGCACUGGCCCAGGGAGCAGCAAGGAGGGUGAUUCCCAAAUAGCAGCCCCCAGAGCCCCGGUUCUGCCCCCAGAGAAGCUCAAGUCCAGACACCAGAAGGACCUCCCUUCAUCCUGAAGACAUUUACAUGAGGAGAGCCACUUCCCCGAGUGAC